AGUUCGAUCCUGGCUCAGAUUGAACGCUGGCGGCAGGCCUAACACAUGCAAGUCGAGCGGUAGAGAGAAGCUUGCUUCUCUUGAGAGAGGCGGACGGGUGAGUAAAGCCUAGGAAUCUGCCUGGUAGUGGGGGAUAACGUUCGGAAACGGACGCUAAUACCGCAUACGUCCUACGGGAGAAAGCAGGGGACCUUCGGGCCUUGCGCUAUCAGAUGAGCCUAGGUCGGAUUAGCUAGUUGGUGAGGUAAUGGCUCACCAAGGCGACGAUCCGUAACUGGUCUGAGAGGAUGAUCAGUCACACUGGAACUGAGACACGGUCCAGACUCCUACGGGAGGCAGCAGUGGGGAAUAUUGGACAAUGGGCGAAAGCCUGAUCCAGCCAUGCCGCGUGUGUUAAGAAGGUCUUCGGGUUGUAAAGCACUUUAAGUUGGGAGGAAGGGCAUUAACCUAAUACGUUAGUGUUUUGACGUUACCGACAGAAUAAGCACCGGCUAACUCUG
rnacentral:rRNA from 1 species